AGAUUUUGCCCGAGCGUACUGUUCCCUCAAGCGCCGAUUCUUUCUUCUCGCGUACAAUCCCUAACUUUCACCGUCGCCGCUCAGAUCACCACCCUCCUCUCCCUUUUCCCUCUCUAACCUGCUCUUGCCGUCGCCGCUCCUCUCCCCCACGCUCAUCAUCUCUGUCGCUGCUCCUCACCCUUUUUCCUCCCUAACCCAUUCUCGCCGUCACCGCUCCUCUCACCCAUGUUCACGCAUCCUUGUCGCUGCCGCCGGACUCCAUCGCUUGUCUCCACCACAAUUCCUCCACAGCACUGCCUCCUCUGUGAUUCCUUAGGUUUACGGAAGGAAGUAGUGAGUGGAGGUUUUGGUCUAAGAAAUUUGAAGCUUUCAAGGUAUUUCAAUCCGAACCCUACCUCCAUGAAAGUAACACUGAUUAAUUCCCCAACCAUACAAGAAUCCCUUGAAUCGUUAUUCCCAGAUGAAGUCCAGCCCAUUGUUGCGGCUUGCCAAGCAAAGUUCGGUGAUUAUCAAUGGUGAAAUUCUUACUAUAUUCUUCUUCAGCAAAGCACUUCAGCCAAAUUUCAGCAAAGCCUCUUUGUUUCUAUGUUGUGUGCUUGAUAAACUGAGUAUGCAAGUCUAUUGCAUUUUGAGUUCUUAUUAGUUAGAAUGUAUAAUUGUUAUUGCCACUACAAUUCUCCUCUAAUUUAGAUAUUUAUAAGAUUAAUUUCUCUAUUGUUUCAUAAUUAUAGUUAUCAUCUUUACUAUUUGCUCUUUGUUUGGUGAAUGAAAAUGACUAGAAAAACUUUGAUGUAGCAACAAUGCAAUGGUAAUUUGGUCACAAUUGAAGGGGAAAACAACCCAGUUCAAGAAUCCCAAUUCUAUUGGCCAGGCAAUUGCCAAAAAUCUUCCUGAAUAUGAGAUGAUUGAAUCUACCUCUGUUGCUGGAUCUGGAUUUGUGAAUAUAAAAUUUUCAAACAAGUGGAUAUCUAAGCAUAUCUAAAACAUGUUGGUAAAUGGGAUUGAGCAAUGGGCACCAAUACUUUCAGUUAGAAAGGCAGUGGUAGAUUUCUCAUCACCUAAUAUUGCAAAGGAAAUGCAUGUUGGUCACUAAGAUCCACCAUUAUGGGUGACACUUUAGCUCGCAUGUUGGAGUUUUCAAACGUGGAAGUCCUUCGAAGGAAUCAUGUUGGUGAUUGGGGUACACAGUUUGGCAUGUUAAUCGAGUAUUUGUUUGAACAAUUUCCAAAUUGGGAGGAUGCUGGGGAUCAAGCUAUUGGUGACCUUCAGGUGACAGGUACUUGGAUUUUGCAUAUGAUGGUUGAAGAUAGUUGAUAGUAAAUUAGUAGAGCUUUUUAUUUUACAAGACUUUGUUAGUUCUAAAACUUAAUGUUUUGUUAGUAUUUACUUAGUGUUGGAUUUAAUACUUUUACAUUAGUAUUGCAUUUGUAUUUUUGUGAUGAUGAGAUGAAUUGUGAUGACGUGGUGAAUGAAUUGGAUAUUUUGGAUGUAAAACUUUUUUAUUUUAUAUAGUGGUGAAUUGUGAUGA